UAGGGAAUCUUCCACAAUGGACGCAAGUCUGAUGGAGCAACGCCGCGUGAGUGAAGAAGGCUUUCGGGUCGUAAAACUCUGUUAUUGAAGAAGAACGUGUGUGACAGUAACUGGUCAUGCAGUGACGGUAUUCAAUCAGAAAGUCACGGCUAACUACGUGCCAGCAGCCGCGGUAAUACGUAGGUGGCAAGCGUUGUCCGGAUUUAUUGGGCGUAAAGCGAGUGCAGGCGGUCUUUUAAGUCUGAUGUGAAAGCCUUCGGCUUAACCGAAGAAGGGCAUCGGAAACUGGGAGACUUGAGUGCAGAAGAGGAGAGUGGAACUCCAUGUGUAGCGGUGAAAUGCGUAGAUAUAUGGAAGAACACCAGUGGCGAAGGCGGCUCUCUGGUCUGUAACUGACGCUGAGGCUCGAAAGCGUGGGUAGCAAACAGGAUUAGAUACCCUGGUAGUCCACGCCGUAAACGACGAAUACUAAGUGUUGGAGGGUUUCCGCCCUUCAGUGCUGCAGCUAACGCAUUAAGUAUUCCGCCUGGGGAGUACGACCGCAAGGUUGAAAC
rnacentral:rRNA from 1 species